rnacentral:rRNA from 1 species
UACGUAGGAGGCGAGCGUUUGUCCGGAAUUACUGGGCGUAAAGCGCGUGUAGGCGGUCUGAAUAGUCUGCUGUGAAAGCGCCUGGCUUAACCGGGCGAGGUCGGCGGAAACUCUCAGACUGGAGGCCGGUAGAGGGGGGUGGAAUUCCCGGUGUAGUGGUGAAAUGCGUAGAGAUCGGGAGGAACACCUGUGGCGAAGGCGGCCCCCUGGGCCGCGCCUGACGCUGAGACGCGAAGGCUAGGGGAGCGAACGGGG